rnacentral:tRNA from 1 species
GAGAGGAAAGCACAGAUUGGGUGUGUAGCUAGCUUGAAACUAGAAGGUGAAGGUUCAAAUCCUUCAACUCUUG